rnacentral:rRNA from 1 species
UACGUAGGCGGCAAGCGUUGUCCGGGUUUACUGGGUGUAAAGGGCGUGUAGCCGGGUUGACAAGUCAGAUGUGAAAUCCUGCGGCUUAACCGCAGAACUGCAUUUGAAACUGUUGAUCUUGAGUACUGGAGAGGCAGACGGAAUUCCUAGUGUAGCGGUGAAAUGCGUAGAUAUUAGGAGGAACACCAGUGGCGAAGGCGGUCUGCUGGACAGCAACUGACGGUGAGGCGCGAAAGCGUGGGGAGCAAACAGG